GUUUUAACAAACAGAAUGUUAGGGGCAUUUAAAACUAAACCACAUGUCAGAAAUGGUAUUUAAAAUACAUUUGAGAGAAUGGUUUUGAGGUUAUUUGAAAUAUCAAGCUUGCAAAUUAUUUUAAUCAACAAGGUUUUAAUUGACUUAGAUAUUACUAAACGCUUUUAGAAUAAACUCAAAUUUUGCAAGGGCAGAAGAGAAAAAUUUUGUACCACACAUUUCCCAGAAAUGCCUUGGAAGGGACCGGUUUCAUAAACAAACUUGCUGCUUAGAAAUUUUUAUGCUUCAAAGUUAAAAUAAAAAUAUACUGAUAUUCACAAGUGGGUUUUUCAGUGUUAUUUUUUCCCCUACUCUUCAAUUCCUCUCACCUUUCUCUCCCCUCCCCCCUCCCUUCUAGGUAAUCCUUAGACUUCCUUCACAUGGAGAGUGUGAAGAAUUUACAAUUGGGUCUUUGCAAAGCAGGCCUGUGACACUUACUACCCAGGGUGUCAGUAAAGGCGAGUUACCCUUCCUGGAAGAACUUUGAAUGAGAUGCAAAGAGACCCUGGGAACUUGACCAGUCAAACUUAGAAGUAUGAAGAGAAUGUAGUGGGAGGAAGUGGAGGCCGUGAGUCAGCAUGAGUCAUUCUGUUCCAAUGAGAAUGAAGGCUGACUGAGAGGUGUGUGUAUCUUUUUUUGGUUUGGGUUUUGGGUUUUUUUUUCUCUUCGUCUUAAUCUUUGGAACAUCAUUGGUGAAUGGAGGAAAAAAGUAAGUGAUUUUGCUUAUAUGCUUGGUGCUUUUCAGGUAUUAAGUUCUCACUUCAAUGAUACUUUGCAUGAAUACAUAAAUGUGACUUUUAUCCCCCUAGGCAUCCUGUUCUCAAGGAGGUGGAGCAACCGACUUCUCCUUGAUGAGCUUUGGGAUCUGACUACAGAAAGCCUGCAUAAGAACCAGCUCUGGAGAAGAUCAAGGCAAAACCUGGCACCCAUCUCCUAUCAGGGAUGGUUUAAGAGGAACAAAAUCCAUCUUCUUAAUGGCACAGAUGGGUGUACCACAUGACCCACUGGAAAGUUCUUGCUUGAAUUAUAGGACAGCAGUUGGUUGUGCCCCAAAGAUUUUGUAAGCCAGCUCCUUGGCAGGAUAUGAUCCCCAGACUGAAGAGUGACCAUUCCUUGUUCCCUGGAUGGUAAAAAUAAUAGUUUCCAUUUACAUAGUUACCAAGAAUUUUACAAGUAUUCCCUUCUUUGAUCCUUAUAAAAACCCUAUAAAGUAGGUGGAGAAAACGCUAUUACCCCCAUUUUAUAGCUGAGCAACCAAGGUCACACAGCGAAUAAAUGAUGGCUCUCUUCACUUAUGCCA
rnacentral:lncRNA from 1 species